GUCUGUGGCCAUAGCACACUGAACAUGCCCAAACUCACCUGAUCUUAGAAGCUAAGCAAAGUUGAGCCUGUUUAGUACCUGGAUGGGAAAGCUAAACAAAUCAUGGUGUACUGGAGGGU
rnacentral:rRNA from 1 species